UACAGAGGGGGCAAGCGUUAUUCGGAAUUAUUGGGCGUAAAGGGCGCGUAGGCGGCUUUGCAAGUGACGGGUGAAAGCCCUCGGCUUAACCGAGGAACUGCCUGUCAGACUGUAAGGCUUGAGACCGGGAGAGGUGAGUGGAAUUCCCAGUGUAGCGGUGAAAUGCGUAGAGAUGCGGAGGAACACCGAUGGCGAAGGCAGCCCCCUGGGCUGACACUGACGCUCAGGCACGAAAGCGUGGGGAGCAAACAGG
rnacentral:rRNA from 1 species